rnacentral:rRNA from 1 species
GGUUGAUCCUGCCAGUAGUCAUAUGCUUGUCUCAAAGAUUAAGCCAUGCAUGUCUCUGUUUAACUCUUUAAACGAGGAAACUGCGAAUGGCUCAUUAAAACAGUUAUAGUUUAUUUGAUGGUCAUUACUACAUGGAUAACCGUGGUAAUUCUAGAGCUAAUACAUGCGUAAAUGCCCGACUUCACUGAAGGGCAGUGUUUGUUAGAUUUUAAACCAACCCACGCAAGUGGUUUGCUGGUGAUUCAUAACAACCGAUCGAAUCGCAUGGCGUCAGCCGGCGAUAAAUCAUUCAA